rnacentral:rRNA from 1 species
AAAGAAACCAACAGGGAUUGCCCUAGUAACGGCGAGUGAAGCGGCAACAGCUCAAAUUUGAAAUCUGGCGCAAGCCCGAGUUGUAAUUUGUAGAGGAUGCUUCUGGGUAGCGGCCGGUCUAAGUUCCUUGGAACAGGACGUCAUAGAGGGUGAGAAUCCCGUAUGUGACUGGCUUGCACCCUCCACGUAGCUCCUUCGACGAGUCGAGUUGUUUGGGAAUGCAGCUCUAAAUGGGAGGUAAAUUUCUUCUAAAGCUAAAUACCGGCCAGAGACCGAUAGCGCACAAGUAGAGUGAUCGAAAGAUGAAAAGCACUUUGGAAAGAGAGUUAAAAAGCACGUGAAAUUGUUGAAAGGGAAGCGCCCGCAACCAGACUUUGCGGCGGUGUUCGGCUGGUCUUCUGACCGGUUUACUCGCCGCCGUGAGGCCAUCAUCGUCUGGGACCGCUGGAUAAGACCUGAGGAAUGUAGCUCCCUUCGGGGUGUGUUAUAGCCUUUGGUGAUGCAGCGCGUCUCGGGCGAGGUCCGCGCUUCGGCAAGGAUGAUGGCGUAAUGGUUGUCGGCGGCCCGUCUUGAAACACGGACCAAGGAGUCUAACAUCUAUGCGAGUGUUCGGGUGUCAAACCCCUACGCGUAAUGAAAGUGAACGGAGGUGGGAACUUUUUGUGCACCAUCGACCGAUCCUGAUGUCCUCGGAUGGAUUUGAGUAAGAGCAUAGCUGUUGGGACCCGAAAGAUGGUGAACUAUGCCUGAAUAGGGUGAAGCCAGAGGAAACUCUGGUGGAGGCUCGCAGCGGUUCUGACGUGCAAAUCGAUCGUCAAAUUUGGGUAUAGGGGCGAAAGACUAAUCGAACCAUC